AUACGUAGGGGGCGAGCGUUGUCCGGAAUGACUGGGCGUAAAGGGCGUGUAGGCGGCCGAUUAAGUCUGGAGUGAAAGUCCUGCUUUCAAGGUGGGAAUUGCUUUGGAGACUGGUUGGCUUGAGUGCGGAAGAGGUAAGUGGAAUUCCCAGUGUAGCGGUGAAAUGCGUAGAGAUUGGGAGGAACACCAGUGGCGAAGGCGACUUACUGGGCCGUAACUGACGCUGAGGCGCGAAAGCGUGGGGAGCGAACAGGAUUAGAUACCCUGGUAGUCCACGCUGUAAACGAUGAAUGCUAGGUGUAGGGGGUAUCGACCCCUCCUGUGCCGGAGUAAACGCAAUAAGCAUUCCGCCUGGGGAGUACGGCCGCAAGGUUGAAACUCAAAUGAAUUGGCGGGG
rnacentral:rRNA from 1 species